GGUUGAAAUCUUUAAUUAUUAAAGCAAGCAGAAUUAUCAAGCAAUCAAUUAUACCGACAGCGUGGACUCAGGUAACAAGAUGGAGGCGAAACUGUAACAAGUUCGCCUUGAGGUACAUUAAAAAUCGAAGUAGUUUGCAAGGAAGUAAAUAACUGAUAAGACAUCAAAUUCAAUACUUUUAUUUUAUAAAAUAAAGAUAUUGAAUUCCAAAAUAUGACCCACUUGACCAAUGGUUGAGUGAAGACAUGAAUAAACUUAUUAAGAACAUUAUCAUCGAUGGAAAAUAGCAAUUCGAAAUAGAAAUGAUCCAUGUGUGAUUUUGGUUCAGUUUAUAGCUGGUUCGUCAAGCGUCUUGAUCUAUUGUGGGUAGUGUUCUGCCAAGGAAUUCUGCAUUAACUAUCCUUGGUUUGUCUCGAUUACCUGGUUACUGUUUCAUUUUAGCAAGCAGUUUAUUUUUAGUGUUUUGAUUAUUUUUUGAUUGGUAUGUCGGAAAGCUUCAGGAUUUCGGAAAUUAAAUAUUUGUUCGCCUUAAAUAUCAUGUAAUUAGCAUCAAAUUAAAAGCAUUAUCUUUUUGUACAACUGCCAGAAAGGAUGUAUUUCGCCAUUAAUAUUGCCGUACGCUCAAACCCUGUGUUCAAGACAUGGCAUAUUGUUAAAGUAUCUUGAUAAUGUGCAGUUUUUAGUCGCAACAACGAGUUUUUAACAUGUUGAUUGUUGAUGAGAAGAUAUUCGAUUAGGGGCCA